CGGUAGGUGAACCUGCCGUUGGAUCAGU
rnacentral:rRNA from 13 species